UUUCUUUAUACUUGUUUGUAUUCAUUGUACUCUAAGAACAGUGCAAAAGAGACUUGAAAAAAAAAGAAUCUCUGAAAAAUUUGCUUGCAUGGAGGAGCAAGAAGAAAAUCGGCAUAAGAGAAAAUUAGACAUUGACUGGGAGGAGGUAUUUCCAACUGGAAACGACGAACCACCGGCUGACCUCAUCGUGAAAAAGGAGGAACCACCGGCAGCGCCUCCAAAAUCGAGGAUACUCAGUGGUUUCAGCGAUGACUCACUCGCAGGAGAUGAAUUUUAUCAGCAGAUCACCGAUCAUGAGCUGGAGGCGAGGAUUUCCAGUAUGAAAAAAACUUACGAGGACUUAAAUCGAACUUUGCCCGAUAAAGGUCGGAAGAUUCUGGAUAAAAUUAAGCGCCUCGAGGACGAGAAACAGCGGAGGAGGCUUCGUCCGGCGGAGAUGGAUGUUGAUCGGUUUGAGAAGUCCUCAAAACUGACAAGCACAGUAGGUGCUUCAGAUGGCUUUAGACCUGGGACCACAUCUUCUGAAGUCCAAUUGCAGUGCUCAUUUGCAACUGUUUUUAGUGAAAAAAUGGAGGAAAAAAGAGAUUCUAUGGUUGUGAAAGCAUUUGAUAAAGAAUUAUCAACCUUGGGCCAUUGUGGUCACCAAAAAAUGAGAGCUAAUAGACAGUUAUCCCAAAGGGAAAGAAAAGAUCAAUCAUCAUCAAGACAAUUUCCUGUUGAGAGCCCUAGCAGUUUCUCUUGUAAAAUAGAUAAACCUGUUUAUUCAAACGGCGACCAUAAGGGUAGAGCUUCUUCCACGUAUUCUUCCCACCACACUGGGGAUAAGUUGUCCAACUGUUUUCCUAACAGGAAGGAUGCAAUUGAGGUUCCACCAUCAAAUAUUUCGAAGUAUAUGAAGGGACGGACCUUGGUGCUCCUAGAUGAGGAUGAAACUGAAGAUUCAACUGUGGAAACUCUGUAUGUAGAGACAACAAAGCAAGCAGACAAGCUUGCUGAAUGUGACAGGGAUGCUAAGAUUGACUACCCAUCAAGGGAUGACCCAGAAUCUGUUGAAAUUUGUUACAAGGAUAUAGAUCACCUUGCUCCUGAGGCUUAUCUAACAUCAUCAAUUAUGAACUUCUAUAUUCGGUAUUUACAGCAACAAGCAUCCCCAACAAAUAGGGCAAUAUGGGAUUGCCAUUUUUUUAACACAUAUUUUUACCAGAAGCUCAAGGAAGCUGUAUCACGCACGGGGGGUGAAAAGGAUUCUUUUAUCAAGUUCCGGAGGUGGUGGAAGGGUAUCAAUAUAUUUCAGAAGGCGUAUAUAUUUAUUCCUAUUCAUGAAGAUCUUCAUUGGAGCUUGGUGAUUAUUUGUAUCCCUGACAAGGAAGAUGAGUCAGGACCAAAUGUACUUCAUUUGGAUUCAUUGAGCCUUCACUCUAGCAGAUCAAUUUUUGAUAACAUUCGCAGCUUUCUUAAAGAAGAAUGGAACCUUUUGUAUCAAGAAGUUACUCCUGCAGAUAUUCCAAUUCCUGAAAGAAUAUGGAAAUGCCUUCCACGUAGAAUUGAUGCCAGAAAAAUUAAGGUUCCCCAACAAAAAAAUGAUUAUGAUUGUGGUCUCUUUGUACUUUACUUUAUGAAGCGCUUCAUUGAAGAGGUCCCAGAAAGGCUGAAGAAGAAAGACCUGGAAAUGUUUGGAACACGAUGGUUUAGACCUGAAGAGGCCUCAGGCUUGAGAGUGGAAAUCAGGAAUUUAAUUAAGAAAGAAUUUCAACUUGCCAGGAAGAGCUGUCGUCAUUUGAAAUCGUCCUCAUCUUCAGGUGAUGCUGUAGGCUGAAACUGACAUAUUUUGCUGGUAGAUUUGGUGUGCCAUAAAUGUUAGACCUGUAUAAAUGAUUCAACUAUUUGCCUGCUCUCCUUCCGUGAAGAAUUAAUAGCCAAUGAAAUCUGUAAAAUGUUUUGGCAAUUAAUUCUGAAUAAGCUGCAAAAUUAGUCCGAAGGCAUCCUCAUGACGAUAAGUGUGAAGGCUAUUAUUCUAACACUCGCUGGUUGUUCAUACUGACUGGUUGCCAGUAAGUGUGAAACCCUCAUUUGCUUCACCAGUUUUAUAGGAGCAAAAAUUACUGCUGGGAGAUGCCAAGAGACGGUUCAUGUAAGUAUCCCUGAGCUGAAUACAAUUUCUAUGUAAAGCCCAUCAGAACAUUUGCAGGCAGAUAAAGGUAUGUCAAUUUUCAUGUGAAUGAGAACACAAGAUCGCUCGAUUUUUCUUUUUCUUUUCUGUCAACAAACCUCAACAGAACCCAAAAAAAGGGAUGGAACAUUCAGCCCAAUUUGGUUUCGUUUUUCA